AUGGGCGGGGCCAGGGGCGGGGCGGGACCGGACUGGCUGGUGACGCUGGGUGUAGUUGGGGAAACGCGUCGUGGUUCCCCUUCAGGUUGGGAGAUUCCGAGCCCCUGGCGAGUAUGAACAAGGCUCACUGCACCUUCCUCUUUCACAAGGAUCCAGUUAUGGCUAACAGACCUGUUUCUUUCUUCCUCUCCGGCACUGCCUUCAGUCCUAGCCUUACCAGAGCCUGGUGCAGCGAUCUGAGCUGAGAUCCGCCCACCAAAGUCACUGGGAUUCUGCAGGAAACCCCCUGAGCAGUUAGCAACCACCAGUAGCUUUCUGUCCCGAGGCAGAAGGUCAGGGAAAAGGGGGAAUUCAGAGGGGUUCUCUGAAAAGCACGUUGAUAAAACAGCUAUUGUUGACUGAAGGGGUGUCCAUUACAUUGAUUAAUUGGAUAUGGCCUACUUAAACUAGACUACAGCUCCACCGUUAAUGGCUAUUGGCAAGAUGCCUUUGAAAAAUGCGGAUAAUACAGGUCGAUUACCUCUACAGGGUUACUCAGAAAUGUAACGUGUAUGCCUAAAAAGUAUUGAAUAAUGUUAGCUUGUAUUCCACGGACAAAUGGAGGAAGAAAUAGAACCUUAAAAAUAAUCCCUCUAGGUUUAAGUUAAUCUAUGCAAAACAGGCUUCAUCUUUUUUACUAACAGAGAUUACAGUUUUAUUUUAUACCUCCACUUCUUCUCUUGUACUCAUCCGUCCAGACAACAUUGUUAUAAAACCCAGCAGAGGGGACACAAUAGUCAGGGAACCAGAAAAGGUCUGCUUUCAUGGAGUUGAGGUCUAGUGGGAGAAGCACAACAACAACAACAACAACAACAACAACAAAAACCCCAAAUAUAUUUCACACUUGGAGAAGAAACAUAGAGGUUACAGGAAGAAUUUGGGGUAGCAGAUAACAGGAUCGUUUUUUGAAAGCAGAGUGGUCAAGGCUGUGCCUAUCUGAAGUGCAGAAAGAAGCCAGUAAUGGGAGAAAGGCCCCAGAGAAUUGAGUAAAGCAAAAAGAUCGUGCAAAGAACCUGCAAUAGGGAGGAGCUUGGCUUUCAGAACUGAGAGGAAUCCGUGUUGAUGAGAAAUAUAUUUUGCCUGGAGAAGCCUUACAUUAGAUUGGAGAGGGAGUUGAGAGCUCAGUUGUACAGGGCCUAGAAAUACAUAGAAACAAGACUAGCCUUUAUUCCAACUGCAGGCUGAAGCCGCUGAAUGGUAAGUAGGGAACAAAAGAGUUGAGAACAGUGAGUGGCGCUUGAAGUAUGGCGUCUAUAUUUAUAUUCUAGACAACAUAUGGACCAGAGAACCUGAUUGAGAGGUUUUUUUUUUUUUAAUCUAAGUUUGAGCCUCUUCAAUAUGGAGUUCACCAAAUAUAGUUCAGAUUGUUUAAAAAUUUGUGGGCAUCACAUAAUAUUGUGUAGAUAAAAAUAUACUCAUUUCACUGAAAAUUAUUAAAUGAUACCAUUUUCGAUUCCCCAACUCCUGCACAGGGUUAUUUGUGUAGCCCUGACUGUCCUGGAACUUGCUCCAUAGAACAGGCUAGCCUCGAACUCAGAGAUCCCCUUUCCUCCGCCUCCCUAGUUCUGAGGGGAUCACAGCCAUGCACCGCCAUGCCAGGCUUGAUAACCAUUUAUUUUUAAGCAUUUUUUUUUUGGUUCUUUUUUUCGGAGCUGGGGACCGAACCCAGGGCCUUGCGCUUCCUAGGUAAGCGCUCUACCACUGAGCUAAAUCCCCAGCCCCAUUUUUAAGCAUUUUAUAUAGCAUUUUGUUACAGUGCAUAGUUGCCUGUACUAAUCAAUAUUAUUGAUUUCAGGUAGUAUUCCAAGUUAGUCACAGUCCUAGUCAUUUUUGAUACUAUGAUCCCAAAUGUGUUUUUAAUGAAUAUUUCCCUUUGUUAUUAUUUUAUGUCCAUCCCAUGCGUGCAAUACCUGAGGACAUCAAACAAAAGCAGAAGUCUUCAGACCUGGAUGGAUCCUCCCUGCUGCCAGUGUCAUCCAUGUUUUCGUCCCCAAUGUGAGGGCAUGGCUAUCUGCCAAUCAGUGGUUGCUGGAGAGAGUCUAUAUCAUGAAGGGGUACAGGUACACAUUUGGGGGCGAUGGAUGUGUUCACUGUCUUGAUUGCAUAAUGGUCACAGGUAUAUACAUAUGUCAAAGUUAUUAAAUAUGUCUCUCCUUUAGACCUCAACAACACUUCUCAAAUGCUUCUCCUUUCCCCCUCUGAGAGAAGGCCACUCUGUAGCUCAGGCUGGUGUCAGACCCAUUACAGUUCUCAAGCCUUCCACCUUCCGAGCGAGUGCCAUGCUUACAGAUUUCUGCCACCGCCACACCUACCUUAUAGGUAUGGGACCCAGGAAUUGGUGUGUGCUCGAGGCAAGCACUUAAGCAGUUCUCUGCUUUAAAUAAGCAUACAAACAAAUGUCUUAAAGGCUCAAUUGGGAACUCCUGUUCUUUUUCCACUGGUCAUAGCCACUAAUUGGUUCGAUUGUUGUGAAGAAUGCCCGGACAAUCCCCCUUUAAAGGUUAUCUUAGCAUAUUAUAUUAUCAACAGUACAAGGCAUAUACUGAGUUGAGAUAUAGGUGUAUUCAUUGGCAUUAUAGAGUUGUAGUUAAAAUAUAAAAAUGUAGUUCCAGGAAUUGCUCUUUAGCAUGAGAAUCUUUAAAAGUUUCUGAAGUCGGGAUGUGCUUACCACAAAAGAAUAAGGACCUAAGUUCCUCAUCACUCAGAACUCAUGUCAAAAACACUGGGCAUGGCGGCCGUGCUAGACCAUUCUGGCCAACUUGACAAAAGCUAGAGUCGUCUGAGAAGAGGGAAUCUCCACUGGGAAAAUACCUACAUCAGAUUGGCCUGUAGGCAAAACUAUAGGGCGUAUUCUUGAUCAGCGAAGAUACUUGAGGGCCCAACCCACCCCCUGUGUCACUUCUAGGAAGGUGGUCCUAGGUCUAAUAAGAAAGCAAGCUGAGUGAACCAUGGAGAGGAAGCAGAUAGGCAGCACUCCUCUGUGGUUCUGCUUCAGUUCCUGCCUCCAGAUUCCUUCUUAAAUUCCUGUCCUGUGGGUCCACCCCCAUCAAUCACUAAUUAAAAAAAUGUUUCACAGGCUGGCCCACAGCCCAAUCUUGUGGAGGCUUUUUCUCAAUUGAGGUUCCCUCCUUUGAGAUAGCUAUAGUUGGUGUCAGGUUGACCUGAAUCUACAAAAAAGGUAGAUUUUCUUAUGGGGGGGGGGUAAUGCAGAUCAAAUUCAGGUUCUAAUGCUUGAGCAGUAAAUACUUUGCCAAGUAAGCAAUCUCCCUAGCCCUGUAACUUCUGUCUCUUGAAAAGAGAAUAGUAUCGAAGAGUAGCAGAGGCUCAGGCGUGACUGGAGUGUUUGUCUAUUAUACAGGAGGUCCUGUGCUUGAUCUCAAAUGCUUUUUAAAAUGAUAUUUUUAUUAUAUUUUAUAUGUAUAGGUGCUUUGCCCUCAUGUAUGUCUAUGCACCACGUGCAUGUCUGGUGCCUACAGAGGUCAGAAGAGAGUGUUGGAUCCCCUGGACUUGGAUUUACAAAUGGUUGUAAGCCUCUCUGUAGGUGCUGGGAAUCGAACCCAUGUCCUAUGAAAGAACAACAAGUGCUCUUAACCACCGAGCACUUCUCUCAAGUACCUUGAUAUUACAAAUAAUUUUUUUUUUUUUUUUUUGCUGCCGUAGGCAAACAAAAAUGACAGAAACCCAAUAAGGAACCCUUGGCUCUGUGUUUAGAAAGUGUCUUCAAGCACUGUGAGCCCUUAGCCGUCACUUCUCGAGUCCUGGCAACAUUCCAGGCAUAUGUCACAAACAGUCACAGUUAAAGAAACCCGAGGCCUGGGGUUGGGGAUUUAGCUCAGUGGUAGAGCGCUUGCCUAGGAAGCGCAAGGCCCUGGGUUCGGUCCCCAGCUCCAAAAAAAAAAAAAAAAAAAAAAAAAAAAAAAGAAACCCGAGGCCCAAAUGUGUCUUCGGCAGGGGGUUACAACAGUAUCAACAUGAACCAGAUAUCCAAACGUGCCUUAUAAACUUCACUCCCGUGCCAUUUCUGAAAUGAUGUCACCCCUUUACACCUGGAACUCUCUCUGGCUGUUUCUAAGAAGCUAUUUUAAAACACUGUAGUUCAAAUGAUGCAUGAAGGAAAAUGAUGAAAACAGGAACCGUUUAUAGCGCUGGGAGCACAAGCUAUUUUACAGCCCAGCCCUGUCCACCUGUUAAAUUUGGUACUCUAAUUACUCAACCAGACAUUUCAAUGGCCUUUUAAAUGAAAACCUAUAGCCUUAAAGUAGUCCUUGAUAUCUGUGCCACAGGGCUUCCUCAUGGGUGUGAAAACCUUCCAGCAGCCACUUCUGAGCUUUCCCAAAUGCUUUGGAUGACUUCCAAAGAAGAACCCACGUUUGCCAAAUUGUAUUCAUUGUGAAACAGUGUUAGAGUGACAUUGUCAUGUACUUAACCUACAAGCUGAAAUGUAUUAGUCACGUGAUUCUAUCGGCAAUUUAUUUCUUUAAAAUAGACCGACCUAGUGUAAUUCUUUUUGAAAUACAGUAUAUCUUACAAUUUAAAAGAAGGGCAGUAAGAAAUGUUAUAAUAGCAAUGAUCAAUUCUAGGACUGGUGAGAUGGCUCAGCCAAAUAAUGGCACCUGCCAACGAGCUUUGUGAUCUUGAGUUCAAUCCCCAGGAACCACAUGGUAGAAGGAAAGAACCAGCCCCUUCAAAAGUUGUACACACACACACACACACACACACACACACACACACACACACACUGUAAUACAAAUUAAAAAGAAAUAAUCAAUUCGAAACUGAUGAUUGAGGGAGAUAGCCAGGAACAGGAGGAUCCUGUAGCAGUCUGGGUCACUGGUGUCCCUGCUCUUGGGUGGCUGUCUGAGGCACCAUCUUUGACUCAGCACUUUCUCAUAGAUUUGAAAAUUAUCACUUCUCAACAUUCUCCUGAAAUGAGUAAUUCUCCUCCUUCAACAAUGCCUCACAAAUGCAGCUUUUACUUUUGGAAUUAUCUUCUAAAGAAAGUUAUCUUUAAGUAUCGUGUCUGUUUAACGUCUCAUCUGUGCCACCCGACCCUGAUGGGAAUACAGAUUCUUUCUAGCUUGUAACAUCUUCACUUUAACCAGCACUUAUGUUCCAAGCACCAUGCAAAACGCGGAAGAACAUAGCGGUCCAUAAACAGGAACACCCAAGAGGCAAAAAAGGCAUGCUCCCAGACAAGGAACUUUAAUAAAAGUCAGACUAGAACAAGUUUCAUACUAAGCAGACUCACUGCCUUGGAAACCCAGGGGAUUGAAUACUCAUUGUGAAGUCUAAAGGUAGGAGGGGAAGAUGACAUUUGAACCAAUCCUGACAUAUCUUACUUAGAUUUUCUAUAAAGCUGAGGACAUCACGGAGCCUGGAGCUGAGGGUGGGUCAAAGUAGAAAGGGCUUUUUUUUUUCUUUGAAUUUUUAUAACAAACAUGAGACCCGACAGCGAUGCUCAUAAAUGACUCCGGCACUUGGGCUGUCUUUGGGAGUGGCCAGAGGUUUAACUCAUUUAAAGGAUGGAUAUCUGUGCUGACUUGCAGGAAAUAUGAGUCAACUUCUCAUGUGCUCAGCACGGAGGUACAGACUGGAGGUUUGGGAAGCACCAGGUGGAACAAAUCAGACACCAACCUGCUUUCUUUUCAUUGACUGACCUAGACACACAUCCUGCAAAGAGGACAAGAGGGACACCGUUUUAUUGUCAAGGCUUAAGGAAAAAUGCCAGAAAAGGGAACCACCUGUGGGUGAAAAUGUGAGCCUGGGAAAGGGAGCAGCCCUGUUUUCUAUAUAGUUUCUUAGACUAGGAGACAGAUCUGAAUCCAUAUUUUUUCCUACAUGCUAAUGAACUGUCUGUUGUUAGGUCAGUCAAAAGUGCACCUGAAAGUCUACAUCCUCCCUCUCUCUCUCUCUCUCUCUCUCUCUCUCUCUCUCUCUCUCUCUCUCUCUCUCUCUCUCUCUCUCUGUGUGUGUGUGUGUGUGUGUGUGUGUGUGUGUGUGUGUGUGUGUUUCAAGGCAUGGCUUCUUGGUGUAUCCCUGGCUGUCCUGGAACUCCAGGCUGGUCUCAAAUCACAGGGAGAAAGUCCGAUUUUCAAAGGAAAUCAUUAUUGUUGUUCCAAACCUGUUACUCCUAUAUUCUGUAAUUAUUGGCCAGGCAUGGUAGCAACACAUUUAAUACCACCCAGCACUAGAGAGGCUGGGCCAAAAAGAUCUUUGUGAGUUCAAGGUCAGCAUGGUCUAUAUAGUGAAAUCCAAGUUGACGAGGAAAAGAGCAUCUGUCUCUUUUCUGAGGGGCUGACGAUAUAUAGUUCAGCAGUUAAGAGUACCUGCUGUUCUUGCAUAGAAUCUGGGUUCAGUUCCCAGCAUCCACAGAAUCUGAGUUCAGUUCCCAGCACCCACAUAGUGGAGCACAGCCAUCCUUUACUCCAGCUCCAGGGGAUCUGACACCCUCUUCUGACCUCCAGACCUCCAUGGUUACCAGGAAUGUAUAUGGUACAUAUACAUACAUACAUACAUGCAGGCAAAAUGUUCAAUCAAUCUAAAAACAUGUUAUGUGUGUAUAGUAUUUGUAGGAGGUGCACGGGUGCUAAGGCGGUUCACACGUGGACAUCAGUGCACACCUCUGUGCAGCACACCCUUUUCUAGGGCUGCAGGCUUGUAUGGCAAACACUUCUACACAAGGGGCCAUCUCACUGGCGCCUCUAAUACUGAUAUUUGAUUUCUAUGCUGGAAGGUGGGAAACUAAAUGAUUCCUUUUUAUUGGUUGAGAAGCCAGCAAGAAGUUAAGUCUUGGGGUACUACGGUAUUGGAAUUUAUGCUUCUUUUUCUUUUAUUUACUUAUAGACAGGAUCUCAUGUCUGGCCUCAAACUUACUCUGACCUUCCUGCCUCUACCUCCCAAACGAUAUGAUUACAGGAAUAUGCCAACAUGACUUUUUUUAGUGAAACAACAGAACAUCUCAGAUCAAGGACUUGUUUAUAUGUGUGUAUAUGUAAACACACCCACCCCUAAUCUAUGCACAGACACAUAAACACACACACACACAUACACACACACACACACACACACACACACACACACAUAAACACAAAGUCUCAUGAUGUGCCAUCUAAAUGCUCCCUCUCCAGGACUGGAACAUUCAUUCUUUCAGCUGCCAGGAAUUCUGACAGCCACCAGAUUUUAUCUAGGUCCUUCUACAGGACUCUCCAGGAAGAAAGCUGAUUGCCCUAGGCCACGUCCUCUUCCUGGAUGCAGAUAUAUCCGGUAACUGACAGGUAUGUAUACCAAGGCUGAUCCCCUUUUCCAGUUCUCAGUAAUCCGAAGGAUCAUGCCAGCCUGUGCUGGAUUAGUUGAGACCAUCUACUAUUUUCAGUUCAGCAGCCUGACUCGUCCCCUUUUCUAUUCCUGCCGCUCCACCUCCAUGUGUACCCAUUCUGAGGCACUUCUCCGUAAACAUUUUACAUACAAAGCCAGGAAUGAUGGCACAGGUCUAUAGCCCCAGGACUUGGGAAGCUGAGGCAGAGGACUGCAAGUUCGAGGCCAGCCCGGGCAUUAUACCACCUGAUAUCUACUAACCCUAGACAGAAACCAACAGCCAACCAUAGCAAGGAUACCACGAAAGUCCAACUUGAUAAAUCAAUUCCGUUUAUUGGGAUUGCAUACAAGAGUAUGGGUGAAGGGUUAUUUAGAAGAACAGACAUGACUCAAAAACAGCUGUGUCACCAAAGUCCACCCCAGCACAGGUGCAGCUUCUGAGAGCCUGGAGCACACUGAACAGCCUACUGGCAGUUGAACAGGUCGGAAAGUGUCCUUUCUAGGUAGCUCAGUUGAGCUGAGAAUCUUCUGGAUGGCUGGGCUAGACUCUUCUGCCUCCAGGUAGCUGGACCGACCUGAGACUCUUCUAGACAGCUUAGCUUUAGAGGGAACUUUUGAGCUCUCACCCCCCCUCUCUUCUUCCUCUCUCCCUCCCCCUCCCCCUUCCUCUCUUCCUCUCCUCCACCCGCCUCCUUGUAUACUCACGCUGCAAGCACAUGUGGAGGCAAGAAGUUGACAGCAGAUGUCUGUCUUCCUCAAUUGUGUUGAGAACCUCAGCGGUUCUCAACCUUCCUCGUGCUGCGACCCUUUCAUACAGCUGUUCACGCUGCGGUGCCCCCCAAACACAAAAUCACUCCCAUUGCUACUUCGUAACUCUAAUUUUGCUACUGUUAUGAAUCAUAAUUAAAUCUCUGUGUUUUCCCAUGGUUUUAGAUGACGCCUGUGAAAGGGUCACUGGAUCUCCAAGGCAGUUUUGCCCACAGACUGAGAACCACUGCUUUACAGCAUUUCUCAGCAGCCCUUACUGCCUAGAUAGGCUUGGGGAGGAAGUUUCAAGAACUUUCUGAAGCCUUUGAGUUGUUUAUUUCCUGAACUUAACUAACUUCCCUUCAGAAUGGAAUGUUUUACCUCUCCAUAGAACACCCUGUGUCUUAAACUUCCUUCUAAGGUGGAUGCUCCAGGAAAUUGCUACACAAUGCUGGGUUAUAAGGUAAGAUUCAAGCUACCCCAUUUGACUAACUACAUAGUAAAAAAAAAAAAAAAAACCCUGUUCCCAAACAAACCCAGCCAUGGGCGGGCCUGGUGGCACGCACUUUUAACCUUAGCAUUCGAGUGGCAGAGGCAGGUGGAUCUCUGUGAAUUUGAGGCCAGCUUGGUAUACACCAGGGAUAAAAGGCAGAAGCCAUGUGGCCCUGGGGUGUUGCAAGCCUGGUUUGUGUUCCAGCACACCCAUUUUGCAAAAAAUAAUUGACAUGCAGGGAGAGGUUCACUUUGUUUAUCCGUGUUCCUUAGUAUGGCACUGAGAUUAAGUCUAACAUCUCAAAAUAAAUCCUGUGCAAAAAUGUGUGCCACAGCACAGAUGGCACACAUGCCAGGCAGUGUGAUCUGUAUGUACAGCAUUCACAUGUGAAGUCAGUUCUCGUGUGAUCUGUAUGUACAGCAUUCAAAUGUGAAGUCAGUUCUCACUCUUGCGUUUUGAAAGCGCGGAAACCAGAGGCUGGGGAAGUAGCUCAGUGGGUAAAGUGACUGCUAUACGAGGACCUCAAUUUGGAUCCCGGUGCCCAUAUAAAAGUCAGGUGCGAUGCCUGUAAGCCUAGCACUGAAGCAAAGAACGGUGGACAAAUCUCGGAGGGCUUUCUGGCUGGACAGCCUCACCAAAAUGGUUUUGUGAGAGACAGUGCCUCAGAUCGCACAAGGUGGAAAGCAAUCGAGGAAGACGUCUGCUGUCAACCUCUUACCUGCACUCGUACAUGCAGUGAUUUCAUAUAUGCCAGAUUGUGCCUCAAAGUUGCCAUGUAGCUGAAUAUAACCUUGCCCUUUUGCUCCCCCUAUGUCUGUCUCCUGAAUGAGUGAUAGGUAUGUGACACUACACUCAGUUUUAUGUAGUGCUGGGACACGGACCUAAGGCUGUGUACAUGCUACACAAGCCUCCUACUGACUGAGCUCCAUGCCAUACCCAUGGUUAAAUUUCUUGAUGAAUUUUAUGGUUUAUUGUCUACAUAAAAAAGCGAAACGUGUUUGCUAGGCGUGGUGUUUUGUGCCUAUAAUCCCAGCAAUGAGAGACUGAAGUAGUCAGAUUGCCAGUGGUUCAAGGCUAGCCUGGACUGGAUAGUGAGUUCCAGGCUAGACAGAGCUACAGAGUAAGACUUAGUCUCAAAAACUAAAGUGUGUGUGAGGUGGCAGGGGAGAGGGAUAAAGAGCAAAGCGUUUUUAACUUUAUCUUCUUAUCAGGAAGCAGUAAGAUGACAGUUGGCAUAACCAUUUCCUCUGAUGCCAAAGCCUUGGUCAGAAUGUUUGUAGAAUGUAGACAAUCCGAGUAUGACCAUUUGGCUGAUUUAUUGAACACCAUCUCCAUCCUCUGUUUCCAUUACUACCAAGUUCCACACAGUGGGAUCAAUAUUGGAAUCGUGAAGCUCAUCAAGCUCCUGAACUUCUUCUUGAAGCUGUCCACCAUAAUUAAGACAGUCCAGAUCCCUGUGAGUAAGGACCGAAGAUCGUCUUCAUGAUUUUCAUCUUAAUUACAUUUUAUCUGUUUAUCUUGUAUGUUUGUGAAAGAUUUUGUACCAUCCUCACCCAUAUUCUUGUAAGUACCCCAGUAAAACUCAUUGGUUCAUCAAGUAGGACUUUGAAGGUAUCCUUGCUUAGGUUGGAAGUUCCUUAUUUCAGAUGAAUAGGCAAGCAUUCACUUCCCUAGAACAACAAUCUCCCAUCUUGCCUUCGGAAACAUUGGGAUUGAGACAGGAUUUCUCCGUGUAGCCUUGAACUCACUUUGUAGACCAGCCUGGCCUCAAAUUCAGAGAUCCAUCUGCCUCCUGGGUGUUGUGAUUGAAGCUAUGCACCACCACUGCCUGGCUUCUCCCUUUCUUUUGAGAUGAUGUCUUACUAUAUAUAUAGUUCUGUCUGACUUGCCCAGUACCAAGUAUUCCAAAGCACAGUUCUUUUUACUGUCAAGCAUCAUUCUACUACGUGAAUACACUACAACUAUGUUUUCCUGUUCAGUUUGAUUGUAAAUAAGUUCUCUAUGAACACCUUUGUAUAAAAAUGCACCUUCAUUUUCCUCAGGGGAGUACCUAGCAAAGAAGCUUACUGGUUCCUAUGAUAAGAUAGCAUUUAAUUAAUAAGAAAGGGUCAGGGCCGUGGAGAUGGCUUCAAGGGAAACAUGCCUUCUGUGAGCUUGAGGAUCCAAGCUCUGAUCUUUAGCUCCCAUGUACAAGUGAGACAUGGUCACGUGUCUGUAAUGUUAUCAUUAGGGAAGUGAUGACCAGAUCUCUGGAGCUCUCUGGCCAGCUGUUGUAGCCAAUUGCUGAGUUCUAGGCCCAAUGACAGGUCUUGACUUGAAGAGACAGGAUGGAGAGCAACAGUAGAAGACUCCAAGAUUAGCCUCCAUGUGUAGGCACACAUGUGCAUCUGAACACAUGUACACUACUACACACACAUCAAAUAGUCAAAUUGUUUUCCACACAGCCACACCACAUCAGAAACCCACAGUAUAAAGUAGAAUGGGCCCAGGUACUUCACUUGGUAUCGUCAGACUUGAAUUUAUUUGUUAUUUGAAAAUAUCUCUCUCUCUCUCUCUCUCUCUCUCUCUCUCUCUCUCUCUCUCUCUCUCUCUCUCUGUGUGUGUGUGUGUGUGUGUGUGUGUGUGUGUGUGUGUGUUUACUUUUAGCUAGGGAGCAGGAGAGAUGGUUCAUAGGUUCAGAGCACUUCCUGCUCUUCCAGAAGCCCAGAGUUUGGUACCCAGCACUCAAACUGGGGAAAUGACUCAGAAGGUGAAGCAUGUUCUUCAAAAGCUCGAGGACGUGAGUCUGAUCCCCAGAACCCACAUAAAAAGCAAUGGCUUUGCCUUGUAAUUCCAUUGCUGGGGAGGCAGAAACAGGUAGAUUCUGGAGUUCCCUGGCCGACUAGCUAGUCUACACAGUGAUCCCUGGAGCUCCCUGGCCGACUAGCUAGUCUACACAGCGAUCCCUGGAGCUCUCUGGCUGGCUAGCUAGUCUACACAGCGAUCCCUGGAGCUCCCUGGCCAGCCAGCUAGUCUACAUAACUACUGAAGCUCCAGGGCAACAAAGAUUCGACUCAAACAGAAGAGCAAAGGCGCCUAAGGAACCAUACCCAAGUUUGCCCUUAGAACACACAUACAUGAACACAUGCUGAAAACCAAUGUACUCCUUCCCAGCAUGUGUUAUAGUUCAAAGCUGUUAUAAUCCUUGAAACACAAAGGGGGUAUUUUGAAAAAAAAAUCAUCUACCAGAGGUCCUUAGUUGACUCUGUAGAUCUGAUCAUUGAGGUUUAAUAGCUGCUUCAAAUUUAUGAUAAUAGAUUAAAAACCCAGGAGAUGAGAAAAGGCACAAAAGAUUUUUACCUUUCCAUUGCAGAAUCUUCAAGGCCUUUUAUAGGACAAGGGGCACUCAAAGUUCAAAUGACACUUGCCAAGUUGCAUUAGAAAGUUUGCUGUUAGUUUUAUCGACUUGUCUCAAGCUCAGGUCAUCAGAGAAGAGGAAGCCUCAAUUGAGAAAACACUUCCACACUGGUCUAGCGAGCCUGUGUGGCAUCUUCUCAGUUGGUAUGAGAGGACCUGGGUACCGCUACCCUUGGGCAGGUGGUCCUGAGCUGUAUAAGAAAGGAAACUGAGGGGCUGGAGAGAGGGCUCAGUGGUUAAGAGCACUGACUGCUCUUCCAGAACUUGGGACGAGUUCAAAUCCCAGCAACCACAUGGUGGCUCACAGCCAUCUGUAAUGAGAUCUGAUGUCCUCUUCUGGUGUGUCUGAAGACAGUUACACUGUACUCACAUACAUAAACAGACAAAAUGGGAAGGAGAAACUGAGGGAAGUAAAAACUUUUUAAAAAAGAAAGGAAGCUGAACUAGUCAGUCAUAGGUUAUGCCUUUAAUCCCAGCACUUGGGAGACAGAAGCAGGCAGAUUUCCACGGUCUCUGUUUCAGUUCCCAUCCACAGUUCCUGCCUAGACUUUUCUUUAUUAGUGACAUAAUCUAUAAAAUCUUUUCCUCUUUUCCUCAAGUUGCUUUUGGUCAUGGUAUUUAUUAUAACAACAGACAGCAAAAUAGUAUAGAAGGAGAGAGUCAGUGUUAGUGUUCUCGUCCAAAGGCAUAUGUAACAAAUUUAUCUGUUGACUUUGCUUGACUUUCAUGGGUGGGGAGGGGGAGACAGAGAGAGAGAGAGAGAGAGACAGAGAGAGAGACAGAGACAGAGACAGAGACAGAGACAGAGACAGAUAGAGGGAGGGACAGAGAGAGAGACAGAGAGAGACAGAGAGAGGAGCAUGGCCAAUAGUGAGACUACAGAUUGGGGCUAGGCACAGCCACAGCUGUGGGAAACCCCUGGCUAGAAUGCUCUCGUGUCACUUCGUGCCACUUUGUUUGUUGUUUAAAACAGGUUUCAUUGUGUCACCUAGAUUGGCUUCCAAUGCUUGCUCUUUCUACUUUUGUCCUUAAAAAUAAAUUGUUUUAUUGCAUUAAUCAUGUGUGCGUGAAUGUUUGUCUGUGGGCGUGGGUGUGCUGAAACACAUAAGGAAGUCAGAGAAAACUUUGUGAGGAUCACGUCUCUUCUUCUACCAGUGGGGCCUUGGGGUAAAGUCAGGGUGUCAGGCUUGGCGGUGAGUGAACACCUUCACUAGGGAUGAGUAAUUUUGCUAGUCAUGCCCCGCCCACCCCAUUUGUGUUGUGGUUUGGUUUGGUUUGGUUUUUUUUUUUUUUUUUUUGAGACAGGAUCUUACUAUGUAGCCAGCCCUGGGAGACCUAGACCUAACUAUGUAGACCAGGUUAGCCUAAAACUCUCAGAGGUCUGCCUGCUUCUGCCUCUUGUGUGCUGGGAUUAAGUGUGCAACACUACACACAGCCUCUUUAUUCCAUUUAAAAUUUCUAUUUGCGUGUAGGAGUAAGUGGUCACAAAAGCCAUGCUACACAUAUGAAAGUCAGGGACAACCCGUGAGAGUUGUCAGGCUUAGCUGCAGGCACCUUUACCUGCUGAACCCUGCUCUUUGGAUACUUUAAAUUAAUGCCCACACCCAAGGAAAAACAGAAUUUUAGAAUGUUCGUGAGUCCUACCUAUUAAAACAUCAUCCCAGAGACCAUAGUUUAUUCUUAUUGAACGACAGUAGUGCAAAGUAGACAUGUACUGAUGAUAAUUCCAAAGCCUGGAGAACUUUAAGCUACUUGGGGAUUAGUGUAUUAGAAGUAAAGAUGAGGGGGUUGGGGAUUUAGCUCAGCGGUAGAGCGCUUGCCUAGCGAGCGCAAGGCCCUGGGUUUGGUCCCCAGCUCUGGAAAAAAAAAAAAAAAAGAAGUAAAGAUGAGGCUGGGCAGGAGCACACACCACUAAGGCCAGUACUGGGGGAGUAGGGGCAGGAAAAUGAGGAGGUCAGGGCCAGCCUUGGCUACAUAGUAAGUUCCAGACCGGCCUGGGCUUCAUGAAACCCUAUCCAAAAACAAACAAACAAAUAAACAAAAAACCCAAAAAGGCAGCACAUGAGGUAUAGGAGACAAGGUUUUCAUUUUUACUAUUUUGAUUGCCCAACUCUGCCACUGAGCAGAAUUCUGUUUCAAGGACAUUUUGUUGCAAAACCUUUCUAUAUGUGUAACAGUUGUUUCUGCUGUGGCCAGAAAGACCAGUGAAGAAAAGGAAAAGAGAAGAGACUGGAAAAGAACUCUGCAUAAAGUUGAAGGUCUUCAGUAGAUAACUUGUUGGGAGAGGGAUUGUUUGUUUGUUUUGUUUGUUUUAAGAAGAACAAAACUUGAAGUCUCUGAGCUUUCACUUCAGGCAAACCAGCCUUGCUUUUAUUGAAGGCAGCUCCGUCAGACUCUACAGUUUCAGAUAAAACCGGGAGAAGGGCAAGUAAUGAGUUCAUCUUUAUGCUCUGAGAAUCGUGAAGACCAAGCAAGUGACAUUUGAUCAUCAUGUACAUAGGACUGGCAAGGUGUGAGGCUCUGCUCAGCCUCUCGGGGUUUCCGGCUCGGAGAGGGGAUGAGGAGUUAAGAAUGGAAGUCAGGAAACCUAUCCAAUAAGCAAAUUGUCUUCUGUCAAGGUCGUUGCCCGUUGAUUGAGGAAAAGGAACAUCUAUGGAAUUUCCUCUGCACAUGCCUAUUUGCGUGGAUGUAUUUAGGCAUCUGAAUGCUCUGGUCGGGAUGGUCAUUACAGACAGUCACUCUAUGUCAAGCCUCAGGUUGCUAUAAGCUCUGUACUUAGGAACUAGGACAGCCAUGCAUGCGGUAAAUACAAGAAAUGCAAUGUGGGGUCUGUGAAGUCCUCCGGACCUUUGUGCUUUCAGCUACCAUCUGAAAGGAGGAGACACAGGCUAAGAUCCAGUUGGGGUAGUGUUUGGAAUGCAAGGGAGGAAGUUAACAGAAAAUCAAAGGUCAGGGUUUCUUCCCCACAACCACAUCCAGGAUCCUGGGUUCUGGGGCAGGACUUGGUAGUGUGUUAAUAAUACCUCAGUUGUGAGUAAGACAAACAAACAAACAAACAAACAAACAGUGAAAGGCAGAGACAGUCAUUUCCAUAAGCUACUUUUCUUGCCAGCACUUCUGCUCAAGUCCUUAUCCAAGACAAAAAUAAAAUAAAAUAAAAUAAAAAAUCAAAUCAAA